UACGAAGGGGGCUAGCGUUGCUCGGAAUCACUGGGCGUAAAGGGCGCGUAGGCGGCGUUUUAAGUCGGGGGUGAAAGCCUGUGGCUCAACCACAGAAUGGCCUUCGAUACUGGGACGCUUGAGUAUGGUAGAGGUUGGUGGAACUGCGAGUGUAGAGGUGAAAUUCGUAGAUAUUCGCAAGAACACCGGUGGCGAAGGCGGCCAACUGGACCAUUACUGACGCUGAGGCGCGAAAGCGUGGGGGAGCAAGCAGAUGAUGAUACCC
rnacentral:rRNA from 1 species